AUUGAACGCUGGCGGCAUGCCUUACACAUGCAAGUCGAACGGUAACGGGCCUUCGGGUGCCGACGAGUGGCGAACGGGUGAGUAAAGCAUCGGAACGUACCAUUGAGUGGGGGAUAACUAUCCGAAAGGAUAGCUAAUACCGCAUAUUCUGUGAGCAGGAAAGCAGGGGAUCGCAAGACCUUGCGCUCUUUGAGCGGCCGAUGUCAGAUUAGCUAGUUGGUGGGGUAAAGGCCUACCAAGGCGACGAUCUGUAGCGGGUCUGAGAGGAUGAUCCGCCACACUGGGACUGAGACACGGCCCAGACUCCUACGGGAGGCAGCAGUGGGGAAUUUUGGACAAUGGGGGUAACCCUGAUCCAGCCAUGCCGCGUGAGUGAAGAAGGCCUUCGGGUUGUAAAGCUCUUUCGGCCGGGAAGAAAUCGUGUGGGCUAAUACCCUGCAUGGAUGACGGUACCGGACUAAGAAGCACCGGUUAACUACGUGCCAGCAGUUGCGGUAAUACGUAGGGUGCGAGCGUUAAUCGGAAUUACUGGGCGUAAAGCGUGCGCAGGCGGUUUUUUAAGACAGGCGUGAAAUCUCUGGGUUUAACCUGGGAACUGCGUUUGUGACUGGAAGGCUAGAGUAUGGCAGAGGGGGGUGGAAUUCCACGUGUAGCAGUGAAAUGCGUAGAGAUGUGGAGGAACACCGAUGGCGAAGGCAGCCCCCUGGGCCAAUACUGACGCUCAUGCACGAAAGCGUGGGGAGUAAACAGGAUUAGAUACCCUGGUAGUCCACGUUUUAAAUGAUGUCAACUAGGUGUUGGGUGGGUAAAACCAUUUAGUACCGUAGUUAAUGUGUGAAGUUGACCGCCUGGGGAGUACGGCCGCAAGGUUA
rnacentral:rRNA from 1 species